rfam:Triticum aestivum genome assembly, contig: Triticum_aestivum_CS42_TGACv1_scaffold_561455_7AL
UUUAUACUCCCUCCGUCCGAAAAUACUUGUCAUCAAAAUGGAUAAAAAGAGAUGUAUCUAAAACUAAAAUACGUCUAGAUACAUUUCCUUUUAUCCAUUUUGAUGACAAGUAUUUCCGGACGGAGGAAGUAUUUG